ensembl:lncRNA
CAAAGCUUUACUGUGAAAAGAUUUUUAAGUGAUGAAAAAGGGAGAUAAGGGAGAACAUUCAACUAUAACUUUAGCUAAUACAGUUCAAUGCAGCAAUCAUUAGAAUCUGGUGAAUGUGCAAACAGCAGAGGCAAUGUGAGCAUUUCCUAUACAGUCAGCUUUCAAGUUACCUUCAUGCAGCUGAAUAGAAAGGUUUAAAUUUAGGCUGAAUCAUAGUAUGUUCUACCAUACAUCUAAAAGAAGUUCUGUGUAUGCAAAUACAAAGGGAGGAAAUUACAUUUCCUUUCUCUCACGCAGCAGUCACGCACCCCCUUGCAUUUUUGCCUCCCACAGUUGCACUCUUAUCUUUUCUGUUUCUCAUAAUGGCAGUGCCCAUCUGAAUAAUAUCAUGUUUUGAACAACCCAUGGAGAUCUUCCAUUUCUCUAUGGAGAAGGAUGUUGAAGCGGCCUCUUGUCCUAUAAGGAGAUAGCCUUUCUUCUACCACGUGUCCUUUCUUUCUUAUUCUUGCCUUCAAAGUUAAUUCGCUUCCUCUGCAGAGUGACACGACUUUGGAGCCUACAGCUGUCCCAGAGAUCACCAGCAGAACCCACAGACACCAGAGUUCCUUCCCUGCAAAGAGGCAGUGCUAGUUAUUACGCGUGGGUGACUGACUUUGCUUCUUAACUGCUUUUGAUGCUAUUUUUUUUCUGCUGUAUGGAUUAAGAUUCUUUUUCUUCCAGAGGCUAUCAGUGUGUCUCCUAACCCUUCAUGACUCUGAAUCAUUUCAUAAUGCAACAGCAAAUACAGUAUAUCCAGCUUAAGAAUAAGCUCAGCUUCCAGCGCUGCUUUGCCUCCUGACACCACAAGUACCCCCACAUUUCCUGUGACCGAUCAGUUUGCAAUGUUUUACCCCUUGUAGAGGAGCUCUCAUCAUGCUGCCAACUGCAGUUCUCACAAAAUAGCUCUGAAGAUUUCAAUAACACAGAAUAUCAUCUUUUUUUGCUUCCUAAUAGCUGAGUAUGGCCCUCUAACUGAUAAGUACAAUGAAUGUACACAUACCUCCUUCAACUUUAUGUAUAUUGUUUGGUAGUCUUUGAGAACAUUUUUUUUCCUUUCUUCUUUUAAUUUUAUCUUUAUGUAUUAUCUGACUUUCUUUAGUAGCUUCUAUAUGAACUUUUCUUCAACUAAGUUUCAUUGAUUAUCCUUCUACAGCCUUUUCUUGUCUAUAUCCAUGCACAGUUCUUCUAAGCCUGAUAAACCUUAAAGUAUAAUUUUAAAAGAAAAAUAACUUUCUG